rnacentral:tRNA from 1 species
CAGAAUGUAGCUCAGUGGCAGAGCACUUGCCUAGCAUGCUUGAGGCCCUGGGUUCAACCCUCAGUACUGA